GUCAGUACAUGGAUAAUUUAACCCGAAUAAUCCAGUCGUUAUAUUACGAUCACUUCGAUCACUCCAUUAACCAUUUCAUCGAGAAAAGUAGUGGAUAGGGGCUCUGAAUUAUUCGAUUUAGUACAUGGAGGAAAGAUAUUCAAAGAUUAGGAGCGACGAUUCAAUUUCCAUUUGUGUAUUGUAUUUGUCGUGGUUGAAACGGCACCAGGAACAUAUCAGGAUAGACAACAAAAGUCUAGUGAGAAAAAUGUUAUGCAACACCAGCAAAAAAGGUUAGAUUGUUAUUCAGUCCUGACUUAUACAGUGUUUCUGAAGAUGGAGAUUAGAUCAGGCCUAUCCAGAAGCAAGAAAAAGAACAAUUCAUAGCACGUUCAUCUACAGAGAAAGACAUGUUUAAAAAAACAGAUUUAUUUUCAAUUUUAGAAAAACCUGUUGAACUUUUACUAUUUCUUAUCUGUUUAUUUUACAUUUAUAUGUUGAUAUUUUUUUUUUAAAUUGCUGCACAGUUUUUCUAUUCAGUCCCAUAUAACAAAAAUAGUCAGAUCGCAACUUCAAAUAAAAUACAUUUUUAUGAAUGUUAUAUGUCAUUAAAUAGACAUGAAAGAUGGAAAAUUAUAUAGUAACACAUUUUUUAUGACCUAAAUGUAUUGUCAAGGUAAAUUUAUUAUGUGAACAUAUCAAAUAUUAUAAAAAAUACUGCUGGUUUAAAAUAAAAUUAUUCUAUGUAGCCUAAUGUAUUCAUACAGAUCAGUGUAUUUUUUCCUAAACAAAUUUUACAUAUUUUUAUAACCAGAAUAAAUUUAUUCUGUGUCUCAACCUUUUAAGUUAACACAACUACUGUACUAUCAAAAUAGAUUUAUUUUAUAUAUCAUAAUACUUUUAAUCCACAUUGAAUGUAGAAUAAAUUUAUUCUGUGUCGCCUCCUUAAUAUGAUAACUGUACUUUCAGAAUAAAUUUAUUUUAUAUAUUAUUAUACAAGACAAAAAUCACAUUGAACAUAGAAUAAAUUUAUUCUGUGUCUCAACCUCACCAUACAGAUUACUUUACUUUCAAAAUAAAUUUAUUUUACAUAUUAUUAUAAUCAUAAAUGACAUUAAAUGUAGAAUAAAUUUAUUCUGUAUCACAGCCUCAGCAUACAGAUUACUGGACUUUCAAAAUAAAUUUAUUUUAAAUAUUGUUAUAAUCAUAAAUUACAUUAAAUGUAGAAUAAAUUUAUUUUAUGAUUUUCUCGAACUGAUAAUAGAUAUCAAGGCUCUUUAUAAUAAAUUUAUUUUAUAAAUGAUUAUAUACAGAAAGCACCAUGCAUUUAGAAUAAAUUUAUUCUAAGUUGCAUCAUUUACGGAGAGUUGAAUGAAAAUGGACAGUAAAGUGUAGAAUUCAGUAUAAAUUUAUUUUGAAAUGUAUCAAAUAAAUACUAAUAAAACAUAA